rnacentral:rRNA from 1 species
CCCCAGACUCCUACGGGAGGCAGCAGUGGGGAAUAUUGCACAAUGGGGGAAACCCUGAUGCGGCGACGCCGCGUGAGUGAAGAAGUAAUUCGUUAUGUAAAGCUCUAUCAGCAGGGAAGAAAAUGACGGUACCUGACUAAGAAGCCCCGGCUAACUACGUGCCAGCAGCCGCGGUAAUACGUAGGGGGCAAGCGUUAUCCGGAUUUACUGGGUGUAAAGGGAGCGUAGACGGUCCUGCAAGCCAGAUGUGAAAGCCCGGGGCUCAACCCCGGGACUGCCUUUGAAACUGCCGGGCUGGAGUGCAGGAGAGGUAAGCGGAAUUCCUAGUGUAGCGGUGAAAUGCGUAGAUAUUAGGAGGAACACCAGUGGCGAAGGCGGCUUACUGGACUGUAACUGACGUUGAGGCUCGAAAGCGUGGGGAGCAAACAGGAUUAGAUACCCUGGUAG